AUUCGUCCAAUUGAAGCAGAGGACAGUGGCGGACGGGUGAGUAACGCGUGAGGAACCUGCCUUUCAGAGGGGGACAACAGUUGGAAACGACUGCUAAUACCGCAUGACACAUUGGGGUCGCAUGGCCCUGAUGUCAAAGAUUUAUCGCUGAAAGAUGGCCUCGCGUCUGAUUAGCUAGUUGGUGAGGUAACGGCCCACCAAGGCGACGAUCAGUAGGGGUUCUGAGAGGAUGAACGGCCACAUUGGAACUGAGACACGGUCCAAACUCC
rnacentral:rRNA from 1 species